rnacentral:rRNA from 1 species
UACGGAGGAUGCAAGCGUUAUCCGGAAUUAUUGGGCGUAAAGCGUCCGCAGGUGGCAAUGUAAGUCUGCUGUCAAAGCGUCUGGCUCAACCAGAUAAAGGCAGUGGAAACUACAUAGCUAGAGUAAGGUAGGGGUAGAGGGAAUUCCUGGUGUAGCGGUGAAAUCCGUAGAGAUCAGGAAGAACAUCGGUGGCGAAAGCGCUCUGCUGGACUGCAACUGACACUCAGGGACGAAAGCUAGGGGAGCGAAUGGG